CAGUCGUACCGGCGGGUAAGGGUAGGAGGAAUGUGGCAUCCUCGGAUGUGUUAUAGCCUCUUACUGGAUACAACGGCUGGGACUGAGGAACGCAGUGUGCCUUCGGGCGGACCUUCGGGUACCUUCACACUUAGGAUGCUGGCGUAAUGGCUUUAAGCGACCCGUCUUGAAACACGGACCAAGGAGUCUAACAUAUAUGCGAGUGUUU
rnacentral:rRNA from 1 species